rnacentral:rRNA from 1 species
AGAGUUUGAUCAUGGCUCAGAUUGAACGCUGGCGGCAGGCCUAACACAUGCAAGUCGAACGGUAACAGGAAACAGCUUGCUGUUUCGCUGACGAGUGGCGGACGGGUGAGUAAUGUCUGGGAAACUGCCUGAUGGAGGGGGAUAACUACUGGAAACGGUAGCUAAUACCGCAUAACGUCGCAAGACCAAAGAGGGGGACCUUCGGGCCUCUUGCCAUCAGAUGUGCCCAGAUGGGAUUAGCUAGUAGGUGGGGUAACGGCUCACCUAGGCGACGAUCCCUAGCUGGUCUGAGAGGAUGACCAGCCACACUGGAACUGAGACACGGUCCAGACUCCUACGGGAGGCAGCAGUGGGGAAUAUUGCACAAUGGGCGCAAGCCUGAUGCAGCCAUGCCGCGUGUAUGAAGAAGGCCUUCGGGUUGUAAAGUACUUUCAGCGGGGAGGAAGGGAGUAAAGUUAAUACCUUUGCUCAUUGACGUUACCCGCAGAAGAAGCACCGGCUAACUCCGUGCCAGCAGCCGCGGUAAUACGGAGGGUGCAAGCGUUAAUCGGAAUUACCGGGCGUAAAGCGCACGCAGGCGGUUUGUUAAGUCAGAUGUGAAAUCCCCGGGCUCAACCUGGGAACUGCAUCUGAUACUGGCAAGCUUGAGUCUCGUAGAGGGGGGUAGAAUUCCAGGUGUAGCGGUGAAAUGCGUAGAGAUCUGGAGGAAUACCGGUGGCGAAGGCGGCCCCCUGGACGAAGACUGACGCUCAGGUGCGAAAGCGUGGGGAGCAAACAGGAUUAGAUACCCUGGUAGUCCACGCCGUAAACGAUGUCGACUUGGAGGUUGUGCCCUUGAGGCGUGGCUUCCGGAGCUAACGCGUUAAGUCGACCGCCUGGGGAGUACGGCCGCAAGGUUAAAACUCAAAUGAAUUGACGGGGGCCCGCACAAGCGGUGGAGCAUGUGGUUUAAUUCGAUGCAACGCGAAGAACCUUACCUGGUCUUGACAUCCACGGAAGUUUUCAGAGAUGAGAAUGUGCCUUCGGGAACCGUGAGACAGGUGCUGCAUGGCUGUCGUCAGCUCGUGUUGUGAAAUGUUGGGUUAAGUCCCGCAACGAGCGCAACCCUUAUCCUUUGUUGCCAGCGGUCCGGCCGGGAACUCAAAGGAGACUGCCAGUGAUAAACUGGAGGAGGUGGGGAUGGCGUCAAGUCAUCAUGGCCCUUACGACCAGGGCUACACACGUGCUACAAUGGCGCAUACGAAGAGAAGCGACCUCGCGAGAGCAAGCGGACCUCAUAAAGUGCGUCGUAGUCCGGAUUGGAGUCUGCAACUCGACUCCAUGAAGUCGGAAUCGCUAGUAAUCGUGGAUCAGAAUGCCACGGUGAAUACGUUCCCGGGCCUUGUACACACCGCCCGUCACACCAUGGGAGUGGGUUGCAAAAGAAGUAGGUAGCUUAACCUUCGGGAGGGCGCUUACCACUUUGUGAUUCAUGACUGGGGUGAAGUCGUAACAAGGUAACCGUAGGGGAACCUGCGGUUG